UCCAGCACUAUCCUAUACUCAACCUCAAGGAAUUCCUGAUACAGAAAGUCCAGUUCCAGUUAUUAAUCUUAAAGAUGGAACGAGACUUGCAGGAGAUGAUGCACCAAAGAGAAAGGAUUUGGAAAAAUGGCUUAAGGAGCACCCGGGUUAUGUGGAAGAUUUGGGAGCUUUUAUUCCUAGAAUGCAGCUUCAUGAGGGAAGACCCAAACAAAAAAGACACCGUUGCAGAAACCCCAAUAAACUAGAUGUGAAUAGUCUCACUGGAGAAGAACGUGUUCAACUGAUUAACAGAAGAAAUGCUAGAAAGAUCAGAAAAUUGAGGCUGAAAGAGAUUUACUGAUUUGCUCGAGUUCACAUAGCUGGUUGGAGGUGCAUUUGCUCCCCCUUUGAAAGAUUUAUGUAGAUUCCUAAAAGAAAAUUCAGAAUAUGGAGUAGCUCCUGAAUGGGGAGAUGUUGUUAAGCAAUCUGGAUUUCUUCCAGAAAGCAUGUAUGAACGUAUUCUCACUGGUCCCGUUGUGAGAGAGGAAGUAAGCAGGCGGGGGAGACGGCCUAAAAGUGGAAUUGCAAAGGCCACAGCAGCAGCAGCUGC
rnacentral:lncRNA from 10 species